UACGUAGGGUCCGAGCGUUGUCCGGAAUUACUGGGCGUAAAGAGUUCGUAGGUGGUUUUGUCGCGUUGUUCGUGAAAACUCACAGCUUAACUGUGGGCGUGCGGGCGAUACGGGCAGACUUGAGUACUGCAGGGGAGACUGGAAUUCCUGGUGUAGCGGUGGAAUGCGCAGAUAUCAGGAGGAACACCGGUGGCGAAGGCGGGUCUCUGGGCAGUAACUGACGCUGAGGAGCGAAAGCGUGGGGGAGCGAACAGG
rnacentral:rRNA from 1 species